rnacentral:lncRNA from 1 species
AUGCUCUUAAAUACGGAAAUUCCGAGAGUUGCCCGUUCGAUAAGGAUGACGAAUAGCAAUCCAGAGGUAUUAUACAACCUUCAUCAUACAGGGAACGGAAACCACGCGCAUCGAUCGAGUAAGGUUGUAUCAACUCAGGCGGACUCAUCCUCGGGCACUCCACCCUCAUGUUUAAGUUUGCAUGGAGUAAAACCUGGCCCAUUAAUUUUGUCGGGACAGUACGGGACCAGUUAUUUCACAAACGCCUCGGGGGACCUAAGUGAAGAUGAGCUACCAAGCUGCGCCUACGCAAGUCGGUCCGCCCACCACGUUUCGCCUUACAUCGACGUUCAUGACCGCGAGGACGGUGUUUUGGUGGCCGGCGAAUCGGAGCAUUUUUUCGGGAGCAACGGGAGCCCCUACCGAGUGCAGCGGCACGCAGCCAACAUUAGGGAAAGGAAGAGGAUGUUAAGGUCAGCAGAAACCUCCAACUCGCUUCGUCCAAGUCGCGCCAACUCAGAGCGACCUCCUGUCAAAAUCAGCAUCAACUCGGCGUUCGAUGAACUCAGAGGUCACGUGCCCACAUUUCCCUACGAGAAACGGUUGAGCAAGAUCGACACUCUUCGCCUGGCCAUUGCCUACAUUGCUCUCCUACGGGAGGUCCUCAACGCAGACUGUGAUCCGCUAACGUACGUCGAGAAGUGUCUUCGAGGAGACCGCCACGCCGAUUGGAACACAAGCGAUCUCACAGCUCGUUUAUCAUGGAUAAAUUGGGAAAACCUUGGAGUGACACCCGGCCGAAGAGGAGUUUUGACAUCAUCAGCAUCACUGCCUGACAAUAUUCAUAUCUGA